rnacentral:lncRNA from 1 species
UUGCACGAUAGAGCAUCUCAAAAGAUAUGCAUGGCCCACUUGAUGUUUAUGGACUGAGCAACUCUUGUGGACUAAAGAAUAUAGAGGAGACUGUAGGCCAGAUGUCGGCCGGCCCUCUGUGGCCCCCUGCAGGAGAAUGCUUACUAUUAGUUGGACAGUACAGCCUGGCUGUUGUCCGAGGCCAGCUCAGUGGUGUGUUCCCAAGGAGAUUUCUCUGACCCUCAGAUUGCAUGGCACAGUGAAUGAUGGUUCUUAAUCCUUGCCUCAGCGACAGACGCACAGAGAUUUGGGGCUCAUUCUUUGGAGUCUGGCCUAACGCCCACUUUAGCUAGGUACCCUUAGGGUAUAGCUUCUGUACUUCAUUCUGUGUUGAGCCUGAAGCUGCCACUCUCUCUCCAUCUUGUACUUCUUCCCCACUCCCUGAGCUACACCACAACAGGUGGGCCAGAGCCUGGACAGGAAGUCUGGCGACUAGUUAACCUAACGACCAGGGGUUCUCAGGGUCUCUGGUGCCCAGUGCUGACCAACAGAGUUUCAUCCACAGCCUGCCACGUGGGAAGUGGGCAGUGACUGACUGAGAUACAGGCUAAACCUUAGCGCCUUCUUUUAGCUGUGCCACAUGAGACGAGGCUUGCUCUUGCUUCUGAGCGUGUCACCUCAUCUCUCAGAGAACAGUGCAACCAGAAGUGACAGGGUAAUGUGAAUGCCCUUAAGAUUCUGCAUGAAGCCAGUUGUGGUGGUGGUGGUGGUGGUGGUGGUGGUGGUGGUGGUUCAUGCCUUUCAUCCAGUAAUGGGAAGGCAGAGGCCUGUGGAUUGCUCUUAAGUUAGCUGGGACUAUAUAGUGACAUCCUGUCUCAAAAAUGACAAUUACCUGGAAAGAAAGGACAGUUUCUGAUGACCCUGACAUUAUUCUAAAGCUUCCCCUUAUAUACUCUUAGAAGGGACCGUGACAUCAUGCUGUCCAUGAUAGCCCAUCUUCUGGGCUCGAGCCAUCUUCAUCAUUGCAGACCCAUGUCACCCCUGAUUCUUGGCAGAUACUUCUAACUUAGCAAGCAUCAUUAACUCCAGCCACAGAAAUUCCUUCUUUAACCCGGAACUGUUUCUGCCCUUUUGCUUGAAACCUCUAGCUUGUGCCUAUUUCUUCAGAACAUUCCUGUUCCUGAGGGCUCAAGGAAAGAGAACAACAGAUUU